rnacentral:rRNA from 1 species
AUGGACCACGACAACUUCUCCAGCGACGACUUCCUCGGCCAAGCAACGAUCAACGUGACCGAUCUGAUCAGCACCGGCAUGGAGAGCGGCGCGUCGCAGCUGAACGCGGCGAAGUACAGCGUUGUGUCGGCUGAUAACUCAUACCACGGCGAGAUCAGAGUAGGCCUCACGUUCACCGCCACCAAGGUUGAAGAAGACGGAGCACAGGUUGGGGGCUGGGCACAGAGCUUUCGUGGGCAGAAGGUCUGA